rnacentral:lncRNA from 1 species
AGGGAGUUGACAGACAUAAUCCUUAAGAUAGGAAGGAGGAUUAUGCUGUCUAGUGGACUUUCUAGGAGUAGGAAGAGGAUGUGAAGGAGGUAGAACAGGAGGAGAGAUAUCAUGAUUGAAAGAAGGAAGGGAAGAUGAAGCAGCAUCAGUAAAAUCAGGAACAGGAGAAUCAGAUGUAAAAUUAGGAACAGGAGAAUCAGGAGAAGCAUGUUAGGAAAAUCUGUGUCAGGAAAAUGUUCAGCAGGAGGAAUAGAAGGAAAAGAUGAAGGAGAAGGGUGAGCGGAAGAAGGUUUAUUCUUAAAAGGAAAACAAGUUUCAUGGAAGACAACAUCCCUGGAGACAAAAAUAGGAAAAUCUGUGUCAGUGGAAUGCUCAGCAGGAGGAAUAGAAGGAAAGGAUGAAGGAGAAGGGUGAACAGAAGAAGGUUUAUUCUUAAAAGGAAAACAAGUUUCAUGGAAUAGAACAUCCCUGGAGACAAAACAUGUCUUGGAGACCAGAUCAUACAGUUUAUAACCCUUUUUGGUAAAGGGGUAACCCAGAAAAACACAAGACAGGGCUCUAGGCUUCAGCUUGUCCCGUUGAGGAAUAGGGACAGCAUCAUAAGCAAGGCACCCAAAUGCCCUCAAAUGAGAAUAUGAUGGAGCUUUCCCAUACAAAAUUCGUGAGGAGACUUAUUGUGAAGAAUUCUGGAAGGUAUUUUGUUAAGAAGAUAAGUAGCAGUCAACAGACAAUCCCCCCAGAAAGACACAAGUAGGCCAGAUUGAAAAAGCAAGGCUCUACAUGUUUCAAGAAGGGUUCUGUGCUUUCUUUCAACAACACCAUUCUGUUGAGGUGAAUGAGGGCAGGAGGUUUGAUGAAUAAUACCCUGGCUACUAAAGAAAGAUAUGCCCUCAAUGCUGGAUCCCAAUUCUAAGGCAUUGUCACUUCAAACAGUUUGAACCACGGUGUUAAACUGAGUUUUAACAAAACAGAUGAAAGACUUAAGCAGGGAAAAAGUAUUGCAUUUAGAUCCCAUUAAGUGUGUCCAGGUUGCCCUAGAAAAAUCAUCAACUAUAGUAAGGAAGUA